AGAUGGAUGAAUGACAGUUCCCUCCCCCCUCCCCAACUUUGCUCUGACGGCGGAGUUCGGCCUCAGAAG